rnacentral:rRNA from 1 species
GAGUUUGAUCCUGGCUCAGAUUGAACGCUGGCGGCGUGCCUAAUACAUGCAAGUCGAACGAGAAUGUGUAGCAAUACACAUGUACAGUGGCGAACGGGUGAGGAUUACAUGGGUAACCUACCCUCGAGUGGGGAAUAACUAGCCGAAAGGUUAGCUAAUACCGCGUACGCUUCCCGGACUGCGGUUCGGGAAGGAAAGCGAUACCGUGGGUAUCGCGCUCUUGGAUGGGCUCAUGCCCUAUCAGCUUGUUGGUGAGGUAACGGCUCACCAAGGCUUCGACGGGUAGCUGAUCUGAGAGGAUGAUCAGCCACACUGGCACUGCGACACGGGCCAGACUCCUACGGGAGGCAGCAGUGGGGAAUAUUGGUCAAUGGACGCAAGUCUGAACCAGCCAUGCCGCGUGAAGGAUGAAGGUCCUCUGGAUUGUAAACUUCUUUUAUAUGGGAAGAAAUCCAUCUUUUCUUGGGUGGUUGACGGUACCAUAGGAAUAAGCACCGGCUAACUCCGUGCCAGCAGCCGCGGUAAUACG